GCCUACGUAGCUCAGUUUGGUAGAGCAAGAGCUUUCUAAUCUCUAGGUCGGGGGUUCGAAUCCCUCCGUAGGUA